rnacentral:snoRNA from 1 species
AAACCGUGGUGUGGGCAACAUCUCAGCAAGUCCUUGCACUUCUCCUACACAUCAUACAUGCUCUUAUCAUCAAACUACACAAAAGAAGAAAUAUCAUUAUGUAUCU